CCCCCAGAAUGGAAUAUGUCGAAUGGGAGUGACCUUUGUCCUUCAAAGUCAAGGAAUGCACCACCAGGAGGCACAAGU
rnacentral:lncRNA from 1 species